AGCUCCGUCCGCCUCCAUAGGUCAAGCUUAAAGGGCCCGUACCUCUCCCUUAAUCUGGGAUGCCUCCGGCUCCAGGAAGAUGGCUAUUGAAAGGCAGGGGGUGGGGAGGAGGGACGAGGGUGUGGAGACGCGCCUGUUUCUUGCAGGAAACCUGUUGCCAACAUAGUCGGAAGCCAAGCCCUCCCGGAGCCGGUGCCGGCCCGCGAGCCCCAGCGUCUCUGCAGACCAGUCCCCUCCAGGGUCCGGCGGGGCCCGCGCGGUGGGAGGAGUCGGGCACUGGCCGGCGACUAACGGGUCCGACUGCUGACCAAGCUAGGAGAGACCCGGACCACGGAGACAGAGACCCCGGCAUCGCGACCCCCGAGGACCUCCUCUCCUCGCCCUGUGGCACCCACUAGUCCUGGGCACUCAGCCGCGGAGAGCCCCCGACCCCGCGCGCCCAGCCCCGGGGGAGCCCACCUCCUCCCCGCGGCCCGCCCGGGCCAUGCUCCCCCGGGGCA
rnacentral:lncRNA from 1 species